ACUUUAGCAUAGGAGCAGUGUAAUCCUUUCCAUUUCCACUGCUACGCUGGACCAACCUAGAUUAGAAGUAAUGCAAUUCCCUUUCAUCUACCCCAAGAGUCAUAGGAAAGACCCUUAUUUUAUUUUCAAUAAUGCAAUUUCCUACAUUAAAUAGUUAUGAUACUUUACCACCUUAUAGACUUCAACAUGCCUUCUUGCAUCAAAUCUAUCUCUAGUUGCAAACCUGAUGAACAACUAUGGAUUUCAAAUCUAUUCCUAGCUGCAAACUUCAGUGCACUUUUUUUCUCUUUUUGUUUUUGUUUUUUUUACUGUUGCAGAUAAGGCAAAGAACAGGUUGGAAAGGGAGAUUCCUGAUGGCGACGCUGAUGACAACGAUGAGUUCAUGACAGCAACAGCAGCAGCCAGCUUUGCUAUCACCACUCUAGAAGAAGAGUUCACGACAGCAAUCACAGCAGCCACCUUUGCUAUCACCACUCUUGAAGAAGCAGACGUAGCAGUUGCAGCCGCCACCUUUGCUAUAACAUCUCUUGAAGAAGCAGAUGCAGCAGUUGCAGCCGCCACAUUUGCUAUAACAACUCUUGAAUAAGCACAUUCGCUGCUGAACGGUAAAAGGACAUUCCCUCAGGCAGCAGAACAUUCCCCAAUCAAGACCGAAAGCAGAAAAGAAGAUAGCCAACCAAAUAGGCCCCACAGUGCACUCCCUCAUGCACCAGAAGUCCCUCUAACCAAGGCCAAACACCCAGGAGAAGAUAACCAGCUGAAUGGGCUGAUGACACUGCCUCAGCCAGAAGAAGCCUCUGCCGGGCAAACCGAAAAAAAAAAAAAAAAGCAUAACCGGCUACCUAGGCUUACUGCAUCCCCUCAGACACUGGAAAUCUCUCUAACCAAAGCCAAAAGCAAAAAAAGAAAAAGAAAAACAGGAUAACCCACUUGCCGGGCAAAGGAAAUCACCUCAUGCACCGGAAGCCUCUCUAACCCAGACCAAAGGCAGAAAUGUAGCUGAGUCACUGGACUGCCAAAAGCAGGAAACAUUUCCGGGAGGACUAGAAAAAAGGACAAGAAAAAGGAGACGCUAUCGUCUGGUACGAAAAGCAAAAGUCCUCAAUUCUGUCAUGGGAGAGCGAGAAGCUGAUGAAAGGGCGGUGCCAAUUGGACAAAAUAGAGAUGAAAUUGGAACACAGUAGAACAAGAGCUACACGAGAGUACUGCAGUGAAAUGGAUCGGAUCAAUAAGAUUGCCAGAGAAGCAAGAGCACUUGCAGAAGAGAGGAGAACAAAUAAGCUCAGAUCAACGAGGAAGUUUCCGUGACGUGUUUUUGCUUCCGUUUAAGCAGAGACCCAGUUGGGUCUGGGAUAAAUACUGUAAUCCACGAGCACCACAGAAAUAACCCUCUCACAAUUUCUCAGCAACUGCAAGCAUAACACAAAGCGACUAACUGAAUUUGGCUCCAGAAGCAAGCUUAUCUGUUCAUGAGAGAAUUAUUUCAAUUACGUCCAUGUAUACCUAGAGAGCUUAGGAGUUGUUUGGAUGCCUGUAAUCCUCAAGUUGUAAUCGGAUAAGAGGUAAUCAGAUUACAAGUGUAGAGUGUUUACAGCCUGUCCGAUUUGACUUUAAGCUGCCAUCUGUUUACAGGCAAACAGUUGUCUGUGUUCAGAUAACUGUAAAUUUUUUACAGCCUGUAAUUGGGUAUUUACA